GACGAACGCUGGCGGCGUGCUUAACACGUGCAAGUCGAACGAAAAUACCAAGCUUGCUUGGUUGAUUAGUGGCGAACGGGUGAGUAACACGUGAGUAACCUGCCCCCUACUUUCCUGGAUAACUGCUCGAAAGGGUAGCUAAUACGGGAUAUUCUGACCAGCCUGCUUGGGUUGGUUUGGAAAGGUUGUUUUUCUGGUAUGGGAUGGGCUCGCGGCCUAUCAGCUUGUUGGUGGGGUGAUGGCCUACCAAGGCUUUGACGGGUAGCCGGCCUGAGAGGGUGGGCGGUCACACUGGGACUGAGAUCCGGCCCAGACUCCUACGGGAGGCAGCAGUGCGGAAUAUUGCAGAAUGGGCGAAAGCCUGAUGCAGCGACGCCGCGUGAGGGAUGAAGGCCUUCGGGAUGUAAGCCUCUUUCGUCAGGGAACAAGGCACUGCUUUUGUGGUGGUGUUGAGGGUACCUGGAUAAGAAGCGCCGGCUAACUACGUG
rnacentral:rRNA from 1 species